AACUACAAUCUGCCAACAGUUUACAUUACUCAAAUAUAUGAGUAAACUUCUUUAUUAUCGUCAAAACGUAGAACAGUUACACAAUAAAGUCCGAUAAUUUGGGAUCACUAACAUUUAUUUUGAAUAACUAUUGUAGCUACAUUAUAUGGAUUUCUUUUUUGGCGCAUUCUUGCAACUUCUUUUGUUAUGCCCUUCACCUCCA
rnacentral:lncRNA from 1 species